GACGAACGCUGGCGGCGUGCUUAACACAUGCAAGUCGAACGGUGAAGCGCCUUCCUUUUUGGUGGGUGUGGAUGAGUGGCGAACGGGUGAGUAACACGUGAGUAACCUGCCCCCUUCUUCUGGAUAACCGCAUGAAAGUGUGGCUAAUACGGGAUAUUCUGGGUCUGUCGCAUGAUGGGUCUGGGAAAGAUAUUGUUUCGGUGGGGGAUGGGCUCGCGGCCUAUCAGCUUGUUGGUGGGGUGAUGGCCUACCAAGGCGGUGACGGGUAGCCGGCCUGAGAGGGUGGACGGUCACAAUGGGACUGAUACGCGGCCCAGACUCCUACGGGAGGCAGCAGGGGGGAAUAGUGCACAGUGGGCGCAAGCCUGAUGCAGCGACGCCGCGUGAGGGAUGGAGGCCUUCGGGUUGUGAACCUCUUUCGCCAGUGAAGCAGGCCUGCCGCGUUUGUGGGUGGGUUGACGGUAGCUGGAUAAGAAGCGCCGGCUAACUACGUG
rnacentral:rRNA from 1 species